GUCAGGUUUUCAAAAAAAAAAAUUUAUAGCUAAUUUUUCCGCUGUGCUUUUGAACCUAAAAGGGACCCCGGGGCGUGACAAUAACACUCUUAGUAGAACACUGUUAUAAAAUAUUUGUUGGCGAACAUGUAUGCCUGACAAUGUCUCUUACAGCUUAAUAGAACACUCUUAUUAUUCUAAUGCUUCCGAACAUGUAUGCGUUGUAAUCUUACCCUCUUAUGGCAUAAUAAAAUAUUUUUAGGGCGUAAUAGAACAGUCUUAUCAGCUUUAGGAUUGUGAACACUUUUAUGCCAUAAUAGAACACUUGUAAAUGUUAAUAGAACAUUCUUAAUAGGUUUGCAUUCUUACUCUAUUGCGAACAUGUAUCUUACCCUCAUAUGUAUGCAUUGCAAUCUUACUCUAUUAUACACUGCAUGUAUACCACUCUUUUCAUUUUUACGCUUCCGAAUAUAUAUGCGUUGCAAUCUUACCCUCUUAUGGCAUAAUAGAAUAUUUUUAGGGCGUAAUAGAAUAGUCCUAUCAGCUUUAGGAUUGUGAACACUUUUAUGUCAUAAUAGAACACUUGUAAAGGUUAAUAGAACACUCUUAAUAGGUUUGCAUUCUUACUCUAUUGCGAACAUGUCUCUUACCCUCAUAUGUAUGCAUUGCAAUCUUACUCUAUUAUACACUGCAUGUAUAUCACUCUUUUCAUUUUUAUGCUUUCGAACAUGUAUGCGUUGCAAUCUUAUUCUUUUAUGGCAUACUAGAAUAGUUUUAAGGCGUAAUAGAACAGUCCUAUCAGCUUUAGGUUUGUAAACACUUUUAUGCCAUAAUAGAACAUUUGUAAAGGUUAAUAGAACACUCUUAAUAGGUUUGCAUUCUUACUCUAUUGCGAACAUGUAUCUUACCCUCAUAUGUAUGCAUAGCAAUCUUACUACACCGGUUGUUGUGGGCAGAUCUUCGCAUUCUGUAGUCAAGGCACAUCUUCGCAUUCUGCAGAGAAAAGAACAGACAGGCCAUCCAAAGCUGAAAGGCCGACUAUCGAGCUUGUUGUGGGCAGAUGUUACCCAGUUCAUCUGCACACCACAAUGUGUGUUUCAGAGUUGCCGAAGAUUGUGGGCAGAAUUUAGACAGCUGGCCCAGUGUUAUGUGAUGUUAUGUCCGAUGAACAGAUGUCACUUCUGAAAACUACAUUCUUUUCUUAUCUCGACUUGCCUCCAAUUAAGCAAGAUCUUGUGUUAGUUGAUUCCUUCCUCAGUUUUUGGGACGAAGAGAGAAGAGGUAUAAGAAUUGGAGAAACCUUUCUUCCCCUUAUUCCAGAGAUCUCCAUUUUGGUAAGGCUGCCAGCACAGUGGGAACCAAUAGAAUGGCAGAACAAGAGUGUAAAAUCGAGCACUCUUGAUAAAUACUUCAAUGGUGACUAUUGGCGUGCCGAUAGGUCAAAAUUACGACAUAUUUUGUACAGUCUUGCUCGUCAGAAUGGAGAGGAGAUGGCAGCUGAUUUUAUGCGUAUAUUUAUAUUAUACGUAUUUGUGAUCGUCCUCUUUUCUACCAGCCAUUACAAUGUGCCGAAGGCACUAUAUAGAUAUAUAGAUGAUGUACAUAGAAUAGGGGAAUAUGCCUGGGGUCAUGCUGUAUGUAAUUAUCUUGUAAAUUCGAUCUUCAGAGCCUCCCCACGUGUGAGUGUCGAAAUAGCGGCCAAGAAAGAGUUGGCGGCUAUAUCGACGGCUGUACAAUAGUAUUUCUGAGUUCGGCUUACGAGCAUAUAAAGGGGUUGGGUAAUUCCGACGGAGACAAGGCUAUCCCUCGGAUGAGAAAAUGAAAAGGUUCAACAGCCUAUAGGAGUUACGAGAAUCUACUAAAAAAGCUGCAGAGCUAUACUUCUUCAGAGGUUGUACCCACAUUUACGUACCGCCUUGAUGAUAUCUUAAUAUUGAACCGUACGUUACGUGGCAGCCUGCCGGAGCAGGUAUUGCUGAAUUUAGUUAGCAGAAAAUAUUAUUUGGUUAGUGUUGUCAAAUUCUGAUAUUGUCCUUUCGUACAUUUCUCUCAAAGCACCGUACAGGCAGCGGUCCCCGUGGGAACAGCUGCUGUCGGUGAAAGUAGCAAUAAUAUUAGCUCCUUAUUGACUAAAUUGGAGCAAACUGUAAAUAAACUAGAAGAUCAGAAUAAAUUUUUGGAGGAGGAGAAUGCGAUGUUAAAGAAAAAAAUGCCAAUCUGGAAGCGCAACUAUCCAGCGCCACCACAGCCGUUGCUGCAGAAGGCGGAGCCGGAGCCGGUGUUGAUCCACCUCAAGGUGGCCAAGGCACAGCGGUUGAAGAAAGCAGCCAACAUAGAGUUGAUGUUGGCGAUACUGUAAUAAGGGACAUUCCUUCUAGAAUUGAACGACUUAAAGGGCGUGAAAGGAAAUAGAAGAGAAUGUCCCCUGAUUUGACGCUGGGCGAACGUCGUGUGACUCGGCAUUAUAGAAGAAAGCAGCGACAUCCUUUGAAGAUCGGGGGGGCCAAAGUUGGUGAAAAGGCAUCAGAUACUGUGUCAGGGACCAUUGCGGAGGUCCUUAUGGUAAUAUAUGAUGUACUUGAUUAAUUUUAGUGUAAAUAAACUUAUAUCAUAUAAAAUAUGACUUUUGCACGUGAUUUGGUUCAUAAUAGAAAAUGAAAGAUGAACUUGGACAUUCAGAAAGUGCAUUACCAGCUGUUCAGGUUGAUGAUGUCACUACACCGGUUGAGUCCCCUGGGUUAAUAAUUGAGCGUCGUCGCAACUACCCCGGAAGAGAUAAUAUUCCCAAAGAUGAGCGGGAUGCAAUAAAUUUUCUAAUAUCCCGACCUAUUACAAAGUUCAUUAAUCUUUAUGUACAUGUAGUGAUUAGUUAGCAUUAAAUAUAUUUGGCAAAAUAUUCGAGCUUAACUAUUUAGCAAUUCUUUUCUUUCGUAUUAUUAUAUAUAUAUUUUUUUAAUAGGGGAUCCAUAUGACAAGAUGAUAUGAAAGGGUUAGAUUCGCCUUCUGUUAGCGGUCAAGUCCUUGAUUACUUAUUUGGAGGCCCGACGCGCGACGAGGUGAUUAACGUAUAUUUCUAUAUAAUUGAUAAGCUGGAUUGCAUUGGUGUACAUAAAUUUAGUCAACCUGGUAUUUUCUGCCGAAGUGAAGUUGCGAUGCACGUACUCAAUAAGAUGCAGGCAAUUGGAAAGGAUGAGGCACUAACUGCUGAUUUUGUUAGGGAUGUUGCUUUUGGAUCCACAUCUAUAAGACACUUUCUGGAAAAAAUAAAUGCACAUACCUGCAGUAAGAAUAUAUUUGUACUUAUUCCUGUACAUAGUAAUUGGCAUUGGCAUUUACUAUCAAUUGGUUUGAAGGAAGGGCGUUUUGAGAGUUGGAACUCAUUGUGGAGUCACAGUGGGGCAAAGGACGCGGCAUAGCUGCUGGCGACGUGGUUUUCGUCCUAUUUUGAGCACAUCCUCUAAAUCCCCGUCGGCGCUCUUGACGUUGUAUUUCGUAAAGAAUGUCAAAAAUAGGGUUCCACUGAAGUUGAUUGUGGCAUGUACACAUGCCUUUUUGCCGAACAACUCGUAAGAAACGACCUCUCCGAUCUACUAUUGUAUGAGAAUAACCCCCACUGUUUCCGUGCGCAUAUGGUCAGUGUGAUAUUAAAGGAUCCAUGCUGUGUGACCUAUAAUUCUAUGAUUGAGUCCGCUGUCCCAAAAGAUGAUGUGUGAAUGUUAUAUGAUUGUGCAGUUGUGACUGUAUUGAACUGUAUUAUGUUGUGUAAUCAUGUGCAAUCUGAGAUAUAUAUUUCGUGGUAGACUUUGUAAAGAUGUUCGCGAUUUGCUUGGAUGUUCGUGAGUUGCUUGUCUGUUUUUGUGGUAGGCUUUGUAAAGAUUGAGCUUCUUGGAUGUUGUCGAGUUGCUUGUGACUGUAUUGAACUGUAUUAUGCUGUGAAAUCACGUGCAGUCUGAGAUAUAUAUUUCGUGGUA